UCGAGGAUCUUCGGCAAUGGGCGCAAGCCUGACCGAGCGACGCCGCGUGUGCGAUGAAGGCCUUCGGGUUGUAAAGCACUGUCGAGGGGGAGGAAAGCCGCAAGGUCUGACCUAUCCCUGGAGGAAGCACGGGCUAAGUUCGUGCCAGCAGCCGCGGUAAGACGAACCGUGCGAACGUUGUUCGGAUUCACUGGGCUUAAAGGGCGCGUAGGCGGGCCACCAAGUCCGGGGUGAAAUCUUCCGGCCUAACCGGAAAAGUGCCUUGGAUACUGGCGGCCUGGAGGGAGGUAGGGGCACGCGGAACUCCAGGUGGAGCGGUGAAAUGCGUAGAUAUCGGAAGGAACGCCGGUGGCGAAAGCGGCGUGCUGGACCUCUACUGACGCUGAGGCGCGAAAGCCAGGGGAGCAAACGGGAUUAGAUACCCCCGUAGUCC
rnacentral:rRNA from 1 species